rnacentral:rRNA from 1 species
UGCAGCUUAACUGUAAAAUUGCCUUUGAAACUGGUAGUCUUGAGUACAGUUGAGGUAGGCGGAAUGUGUCAUGUAGCGGUGAAAUGCUUAGAUAUGAUACAGAACACCGAUUGCGAAGGCAGCUUACUAAACUGUAACUGACGCUGAGGCACGAAAGCGUGGGGAGCGAACAGGAUUAGAUACCCUGGUAGUCCACGCCGUAAACGAUGUGCACUAGUUUGGUGGAGAUCUGACUCUCUGCCAGACGCCGAGAAAUCAUUAAGUGCACCGCCUGGGGAGUACGGUCGCAAGGCUAAAACUCAAAGGAAUUGACGGGGGCUCACACAAGCGGUGGAGCAUGUUGCUUAAUUCGAAGCAACGCGAAGAACCUUACCUGGGCUUGACAUGUAUGGAUUAGCUCUUGGAAACAUGAGUGACGCCCUUUGGGUGGAACAUACACAGGUGCUGCAUGGCUGUCGUCAGCUCGUGCUGUGAAGUGUCGGGUUAAGUCCCUUAACGAGCGCAACCCUUAUCGCUAGUUGCCAGCGCGUCAUGGCGGGGACUCUAGCGAGACUGCCGGUGUCAAACCGGAGGAAGGUGGGGAUGACGUCAGGUCAUCAUGGCCCUUACGGCCAGGGCUACACACGUGCUACAAUGGUGCGCACAGAGGGCUGCAAACCCGCGAGGGGGAGCCAAUCUCACAAAACGCAUCGUAGUCCGGAUCGCAGUCUGCAACUCGACUGCAUGAAGUCGGAAUCGCUAGUAAUCGUGAAUCAGAAUGUCACGGUGAAUACGUUCCCGGGCCUU